ACGAAAAGCAGCAUGGCCGUCCCUGUCGGAGUGAAAGAGCUGCAGAACAGGAGGAAAAGAGAAGAAAAGGAUGCUGAAGGUUGACGGCGCGGCUAAUGCAGCCGGUCUCGGACGGCGGCAGCGCGCGAGGAGACGCACAAGCUCGUGCACGCGUCCAUUGAUCCAGACAAACCAGCAGAAAAAUCCCUCAAAAACAAGUCAGUUUCAGUAAAAAGUCCCACUUCUCCAAAAACAAAAGCGUGCCUCUCCCUCCGCCUCUCCGCGGCGCGUCUUGUUCGGUAUGUUUCUCUUAUCUUGUUGUUGUUUUUGUUGUUGUUUUGUCGCUGUGCUAACAGGCGCGCGUGCUGUGUUCCCCUCUCUCAUUCACUCUCACUGUCUCUCACGCGCGCGCGGCCCUCUCGAGCUGAUCUGAUCUGCGCUGCGCCCGACGCUCGCUAGCCUCCCUUAUUCACGGGCCUGUGACGUCACGGAGGAGCGAGGCCAAUCGGCGCCGCUUCAUACGAGGCGCGCGCCGAGCGACCGGACCGAUACCACGGUGUCCACGAGAAUCCGCCGGAGCGCGCGCUGCUAUUUAUAGGGAGAGAUGCGCGACAAAGCGGAGUGUCAAAAGCAAAAUGGAGAAAAAGAAUGAAAAGGAAAAAAAAAAAAAGGAAGAAGAAAGGAAGGAAGGAAGGGAGGAAGGAAGGAAGGGAGGAAGGAAGGAAGGAAAAGCAAACGCGGUUAGAAAAAAUGAGGAGGGAUGAAGAGAACACGCAGACGAUUCCAGUCUCGCUCAGUCCUCUUCUUCAUCUUUUUUACUUUCAUUUUUCUGGUGAUGAUUUCUGUUUUUCACCCGGAUGCGGAGAGCGCGGGGCUGCUGAAGGCUUUGCUGAUGUGAGCGGGAAACCGAAGCGAGGACACUGGCUGCCAUGUUUGACAAACAUGCUGUUCUCCUGACCUCCCGCAGCUCCAGAGGCAUUAGCCGAAUGGAGCACACUCCUCUGCAGUCCUACUCAUGUGUUGUACUGGAUAUGUCGCGAUAGCUAGGAAACUAUAGCUACUCACACACUAGAGCCACUCACAGUCACCUGCUGGGUCCCUAGAGCUGAAACAGAGGGUGGGCAUGCAAAUAGUUUUCUGUGUACAGCAGGCUCAGACGAGACAGCCACCUUGUUCCUUUUCCCCUGAGUGCAUGUGCAUGAGUGGGCCAUCAGGUACGCACUGCGGGGAUCCACGCUCAGGGAUGGGGAGGAGGCAUUUCUGAGGUAGUGAGGAGUUGAAAAGGUGAGGAGGUCAUGACCUCUGGGUGUUUUACGAGGGAACGGGGGCUGAUUUGUCUUCAGCGAAGCAUGCUGCUGGCAUCUUCACACCUUCGAGUUUCUGGCAGAGCAGGGCAGGGGCAAAGUGGAGGCUGCUGGCUGUAAAUUAGCACACUGGCAUGCUGACAGGCGGUCAGGGCCAUGGGAACAGCACCCACCUUGACCCUUUCCUGGCUCUGCUGGGUCCAGAUGGCAGAGACCACUGGAGCAGGCCAUGCCCUCAAAAUACCAUCCGCACCACUCCAAUAGAGAGCGCAUCACUACAGCCAUGCUAAUCACAGACAAGUGUUGGUCACGCUGGAGGAGUAAUUCUCACCUGCUUGAAAACAAGCGGCAAUCUCAAUAUAAUCUGAAAAAUGUAUUUUAAAAAGGAUGCAUGCAGAAGAGAAGGAGAUACAUAUAUAUUGCACUAGUCUGGUUAUGUGAUUUGUCAAAGCAUAAUGAAUGAACUGUUGAAAAAAGUUUUUUUUUCUCUCAUUUCACUGUGAAUUUAUACUGCAAUAUUUUGUAGCAUUCUAUGCCAUAUGCUUCUAUGUAAUGUACAGACUUUUUAAAUAUUCAUUAAAUAUUAAUGCAUGUCAAAACUUUUCAACAUCAUUUGAUCACAGCAGCUAUGUGUAAACAUUUCAUGAUAAAUGGAUCAAUAGAAAUGGUUCAAAAUUGAUUCUUUAUUACUUAUUUGAUCCAUCUUGUUGCAUUAACUUACAGUUUUUGUCUGUUCCUGUAAAGUUACCAUUUUGGUGCUAAGUUUUUCUGGACAGUGAUAUGUUAUAUAACCAGUCGAACAGCUAAGACAAGUUGCUUCAGCUUACUCAUUGCAAAAAUAUGGUAAAAAAAUUGUACUUUGUAAGUUCUUAAAAAGCAAUAAAUGAUGUUAACAAUGGUA